GACGAACGCUGGCGGCGUGCUUAACACAUGCAAGUCGAACGGUGAAGCGCCUUCCUUUUUGGUGGGUGUGGAUGAGUGGCGAACGGGUGAGUAACACGUGAGUAACCUGCCCCCUUCUUCUGGAUAACCGCAUGAAAGUGUGGCUAAUACGGGAUAUUCUGGGUCUGUCGCAUGAUGGGUCUGGGAAAGAUAUUGUUUCGGUGGGGGAUGGGCUCGCGGCCUAUCAGCUUGUUGGUGGGGUGAUGGCCCACCAAGGCGGUGACGGGUAGCCGGCCUGAGAGGGUGGACGGUCACACUGGGAGUGAGGCACGGCCCAGACUCCUACGGGAGGCAGCAGUGGGGAAUAUUGCACAGUGGGCGCAAGCCUGAUGCAGCGACGCCGCGUGAGGGAUGGAGGCCUUCGGGUUGUGAACCUCUUUCGCCAGUGAAGCAGGCCUGCCCCGUUUGUGGGUGGGUUGACGGUAGCUGGAUAAGAAGCGCCGGCUAACUACGUG
rnacentral:rRNA from 1 species